rnacentral:rRNA from 1 species
UAAAGAUUGCCUCUUCUUGAAAGCAAUUGUUUGGAGAUGAGUUUGCGGACCAUUAGUUUGUUGGUGGGGUAAAGGCCUUCCAAGACUACGAUGGUUAGCUGGUCUGAGAGGAUGAUCAGUCACACUGGAACUGGAACACGGUCCAG